rnacentral:tRNA from 1 species
GGAUGUUUAGCUCAGUUGGUUUAGAGCGUUCGCCUCACACGCGAAAGGUCGUAGGUUCAAGUCCUACAACAUCCA